rnacentral:tRNA from 1 species
GUGGGUAGAGCUCAUUGGUAGAGCACGUGCUUAGCACUCACGAGGUCCUGGGUUCAAUCCCCAAUACCUCCA